GAUGAACGCUGGCGGCGUGCCUAAUACAUGCAAGUCGAGCGAACAGACGAGGAGCUUGCUCCUUUGACGUUAGCGGCGGACGGGUGAGUAACACGUAGGUAACCUACCUAUAAGACUGGGAUAACUUCGGGAAACCGGAGCUAAUACCGGAUAAUAUUUCGAACCGCAUGGUUCGAUAGUGAAAGAUGGCUUUGCUAUCACUUAUAGAUGGACCUGCGCCGUAUUAGCUAGUUGGUAAGGUAACGGCUUACCAAGGCAACGAUACGUAGCCGACCUGAGAGGGUGAUCGGCCACACUGGAACUGAGACACGGUCCAGACUCCUACGGGAGGCAGCAGUAGGGAAUCUUCCGCAAUGGGCGAAAGCCUGACGGAGCAACGCCGCGUGAGUGAUGAAGGUCUUCGGAUCGUAAAACUCUGUUAUUAGGGAAGAACAAACGUGUAAGUAACUGUGCACGUCUUGACGGUACCUAAUCAGAAAGCCACGGCUAACUACGUGCCAGCCGCCGCCGUAA
rnacentral:rRNA from 1 species